rnacentral:lncRNA from 1 species
CGAAGUCCAUUCGGUUGAACUUGGAAGGAUCGAUAGCAAACUUCCCUGUGCUCCUUUCAAAUCAGGCCAUUAUGAAAAGACAUCGUGGUGCAUGCCAAGUCACAUCAAAUCAUUAAACUCUAAGAGCUUAGACCAGGGGCACAUAUGAGCUCUUGACCAAUUGGCCGCACACGGCCUACAGGUUCCACGAUAGUCUUGUCCCAGC